AUUGAACGCUGGCGGCAUGCUUUACGCAUGCAAGUCGAACGGGGUGGAGGGGCAACCUUCCAUUCAGUGGCGAACGGGUGAGUAAUGCAUCGGAACGUGUCCCGUAGUGGGGGAUAACGCCGGGAAACCGGCGCUAAUACCGCAUAUGCUCUACGGAGGAAAGUGGGGGACCGCAAGGCCUCACGCUAUGGGAGCGGCCGGUGUCCGAUUAGCUAGUUGGCGGGGUAAAGGCCCACCAAGGCGACGAUCUGUAGCUGGUCUGAGAGGACGACCAGCCACACUGGGACUGAGACACGGCCCAGACUCCUACGGGAGGCAGCAGUGGGGAAUUUUGGACAAUGGGCGCAAGCCUGAUCCAGCAAUGCCGCGUGCAGGAAGAAGGCCUUCGGGUUGUAAACUGCUUUUGUACGGAACGAAACGGUCUGGGUUAAUACCCUGGGCUAAUGACGGUACCGUAAGAAUAAGCACCGGCUAACUACGUGCCAGCAGCCGCCGUAAUAC
rnacentral:rRNA from 1 species